AUACCCCACACUGCCCCCAAUAAAAUAUGACAAUACUGCUUCUGCCACUUGUGCUGCUUGCGGACCUGAGGUGACUCCAGCACUCAGCAUGGUGAACAGAAAGCUCAAGGAAGGGUCAGAACUGCUCAUAUUAAUUUUAGGGUGGUGGGCAGGAUGGUUCCUUGGUGCAAUUUAAGAUUAACAGGCAUACACCACUUAGUAAACUAAUGAAAGCCUAUUGUGAAUAGCAAGGCUUGUCAAUGAGGCGGAUCAGAUUCCAAUUUGUCAGAUGGCCAAUCAAUGAAACAGACACACCUGCAGAGUUGGAAGUGGAGGUUAAAGAUACAAUUGAUGUGUUUCAGCAGCAGGCAGGAGGGGUCCAGUAAAAAGAGAACUUGCUAUUUUACGCCAGAGGCUAUUCUUACAGACCAAGACUGCAUUCUCAACUAAAAAACUGCAAUCUGGUUCCACUACAUCCUAACUAUUACAGUAUAGUUUGCUCUAUUCUUUCAUUUCCUUCCCCAUUCCUU
rnacentral:lncRNA from 1 species